rnacentral:lncRNA from 1 species
UCAUCACCUCGCUGGCAUCUAGCAGACUUUUUUCCCCUCUUGAAAUCACUGUAGCACAGAUGUCAAGCAAUAUUAUAGUAUUUUAACAGCAUACUGUUUACCAGCACAGAUCAAGAAGUAUCACUCUAGUCCAAUUCAACAGUUGCUUUAAACAGGGACUGAUUUUGCCCUGAAAUAGUCCAUGCUCUGUUAUGGCAGACGUACUGAUGGAGAGAGACUAUGAGCUCACAGAGUCCCUGUACUUGCACCUAACACCUCAAAGAAGACAAGAAUUCUUUGAUAGUAUAUCACCCAGAGAAGUGUUCAAACACGUGAGACCAUCAUACACUGGGACCCUGAAAACGUGCAGUUAAAACACGCUACAUAUUUCUAAGUUGUGAGUUCCCAGGUUCUUAAGCCUCUCACCUCUUUUCAUUACACAGGUUGGUUUACAGUCUAGGACUGCACCUGACUGUAUCAAAUUGUAAAGACCUCUGGUUUCUUGAAAAUAAUAGUAGAAAUCCAUUUCUUCUUCUUGUCUUAGAGUAAAGAGGUACAGAUAGGUGUGGUCUAGAGUAGAUGGGUAUGGGAUUUGUUUCUGAGCUCAACUUUUCUUUCCAAUGAAAAACCUACUUUCCUUUGCAGUGAUCUUUGAGAGGCUGCCAGAACCAAGGUCAAGAAGAUGCCCAUGCUUCUGGACUGGUGAUAAGUGUUUAUUCUUUGUGAGGCUCCUCCCAGGAUGCAGACUGGCAGCCUGCAUUUACCAAGGGUGCAUUUACCAAGAACAGAAGGAAGGACGGAGCAGAAGGCAGCCUAAGAUGUUCCCGUGUGUUUGGCUAGAAGGUGCUUCAGCACAGGAAUCCAGAGGCAGGGAUGCCCAAGAUUUGAAGUAUGUUCUGAAGACAAAGGAAGGUUUGUGGAUUUCUCCUAUAAGAGACUAUUCCAGGCUCAGGCAAGGAUGAGGAAACUGGCAGCUCUGGGAUAGGAACUCUCUGGUUAACCACUUGCACUACUGUCUGCUGCCCUCUGAGGAAAGAGUCCUUGCUUACCUUCCCCUUAAAGUAAAGGCAAUUCUCUAAAAAGAGCCAUUCUGAUCAUGUCAUUUUUCUAGUUAUACACAGUGCCUCCCCAUUCUUCUAGGAACAAAUCCAAACUCCUUACCACUGCUUCAAAGUCUCUUCAGAACAUCACCUCUGCCUGCCUCUCCAGCCUCAGUGGCUCCCUUCUUCCUUUUUAGCUUCUCAAAUAUGCCAAACGCUUUUGUUUUGGAGGUUUUGCCCCAUCUGUUCCCUCUGCCUAAAACGUGUGUUCCCCUCCCUUUUCCUGACUUCCCCAACCUUCAAGCCACACCAAAAUGUACCUUCCUCAGACAGUUCUUCCCAAGCCCUCUAAUACACACUUCUGAAGCUGCAAUGUCCAGUGCAGUGGCCGCCAGCCAGAUGUGACCACUGAGCCCUUGAAACACAGUGAGUCUGAAGUGAGAUGUAAGCAUGCAAACACAUGCCCAAGUAUGAAGAUGGAGAACAAGAAGCAGCAUGCAAAAUAUGUCAGUAACAUGUUUUAUUAAUAUAUUGGUUAUAUGUUGAAAUGAGAACAUUUUGGAUGUGUUAGGUUAAAUAAAAAUACGUUAUUAAAAUUAAUUUCACCUCUGUUUACUCUUUAAAAAUGUAGCAACUAGAAAAUUUUAAAUUACACAUGUAUCUUGCAUCCUAUUUUUGCUGGACCAUGC